UACGGGGGGGGCAAGCGUUGUUCGGAAUUACUGGGCGUAAAGGGCUCGUAGGCGGCCAACUAAGUCAGACGUGAAAUCCCCAGGCUCAACCUGGGAACUGCGUCUGAUACUGGAUGGCUUGAAUUCGGGAGAGGGAUGCAGAAUUCCAGGUGUAGCGGUGAAAUGCGUAGAUAUCUGGAGGAAUACCGGUGGCGAAGGCGGCAUCCUGGACCGAGAUUGACACUGAUGAGCGAAAGCCAGGGGAGCAAACGGG
rnacentral:rRNA from 1 species